rnacentral:tRNA from 1 species
GAGGGUAUAGCUCAGUGGGCGAGUGCAUGCUUAGCAUGCAUGAGGUCCUGGCUUCAAUUCCCAGUACCUCCA